rnacentral:rRNA from 1 species
UUACGGUCAAAUCACGCUGAAAACACCGGUUCUCGUUCGAUCACCGAAGUUAAGCAUCGUAGAGCCAGGUCAGUCAGUUUAGAUGGGGGACCGCUUGGGAACACCUGGUACUGUAAG